UUAGUAUAUAUAGUAUUUACUUUCUUGACUAUUUAGGAAAUGAUUACAGAGAUAUCCUUAAAAAUAGUAGCAAGACUACACGUCAACUAAGCAACACGAAUACUUGUUGAGUCCCGUAAGUAGUACGUAUAUGGUAGUUCUCCCUUUCCUGUGGUUUCGCUUUCUGUGGUUUCAGUUAUCCGUGGUCAGCUGCGGUCCAGAAGCAGGUGAUCUUCCUUCUGACAUAUUGUCAGAAAGUCAGUAGUAGUCUGCCACUACAUUACCAAGUCCACACCAUUCAUGUCACUUCAUCUCAUCACGGAGGCAUUUUAUCGUCUCGCAUUAUCAAAAGAACACGGGUGAUGGCAGCUUGGAAGCUGCAUUGGCAAAGAAAGGUCUGGCCAAGCGAGAAGGUCUGGACAUUUUAAACAGCAGCAAAAACAACAAUAAAAGGAACCAACCCCAGAAUGUUACCUGCUGGGGCAGCGGGUUCUAUUCCUCUGAGCUUCACGUUCCAGCUGCCACAGUUACAGCCUAAAGUGCAGUUGGAUGGGAAGUGCCGGGCUGCCACUUGGAUUUCUUUUGAACAAAAGGCAUCGUGCAGCCACACAGCCCAUUUACUAGACCU